ensembl:ncRNA lncRNA:CR44511 long non-coding RNA:CR44511
CCGACCUAGGACUUACCAUGUAUUAUUGUCUGCUGAAGUCGGCUCGGUUGAGUUGAGUUCUGCUCGCUUUGGAUUAUUUUGCUUUUCGCUUCCCCAUUUCGAGACAUUUGGCGGGAAAACUUCUCUGUGUUGUGAGCUUCGCUACCAAAACAGAACGGGCAAGAACCAAUUUAGUGUAGCAGCUCGGCCAGGGACGUAGUGAAGGGGACGCCCAGCCCAGUGCGAAAGGUGCCGCACCCGAGGAAAGAGUGAAAAAAAAAACUAACGUCAACGAACAGGGCUACAGGAACAGGGUAACAGACGAAUCAGAAUGUGAAAAGCCAAGUGCCAGAAGCCGUAUUCAGAUAAACUCUUGACUAGAAAUCCGAAGACCCUGAGAAAAAGAGGAGCGGCCAAUCUCUCGAUAGGGCUAUAAAUGCUGUUGGAAUACAAAGCCUUAGUAAGAAAGGCAUACGAGUAAUGAAAUAAUUAUUGAAUAUUAAAUGCACAAUUAAGUAGCCGAUCAUCACUAUUACUUGCAUAUUUAUUUCGAGCGGUUU